rnacentral:misc_RNA from 1 species
GUGAAUCAUCAAAUUUUUGAACGCAAAUUGCACUUCUGGGUAUUCCGAGGAGUACACAUGCUUGAGGGUCAGUUAAAAAUAUCGUGCAUCUCUGAUGUUGCGGAUCUGGUAUUCCGAUGUUAUAAAUUUGUUAUCUAAAAUUAAUAUGGAAAUGUAAUGUGAAGCUUACUAAAGAUAUAGUCGCUAAUCAUUUAUAUUUACUAAAU